rnacentral:lncRNA from 13 species
CUUAGCUGGUGUCUGCUGGUGUCCUGGCACGUCUUCAGGAAAGAGUUCUCAUCUCCUGCUCCAGUAAUUUACUCUGGAAUUUCUUGCAGCCACAAACACACUGUCCCUGAGAGAGGCUCUGAUAAAUGUGAAUUUUUCCAUCUUAUCACACUCCCACAGAUGUCUGAGCAAUGAAGCAGCUGGGACCGGGGAGCAUUUAGACUCACUUCUUAAUCGGUCUCUCACUUAAUGCUAAGCCUUCAGCGCUUUCUCGCCUGGGUGUCUCUCCUUCAUGCUAUGCACAAAUACAGAGCCACAGAGUCCUACAAUUUAGGACCAGAAGGGAUCGCUAAAAAAAUAACCAACAUGUUUUGGGUGCUACGAGCCAGGGACUGUGUUAAAUGCUCAGCCAGGAUGAGCUGAUUUGAGUUCCACUGUCAAACUGCUGCCUUAGGGAGCUGCCCCGUUCAGCCUCUCAGAACAUGCCUCCUCAGGGCCAUAGACAGGGAGACAACCCCCACCACUCUGCAGGGACCCUCUGUGUUGUCCCAAACAGCCUUGGUCUUUUAAGGAGGCUUUUGAGGUUCAUGUUGCCCAACAUUAAUCAGGCGGGAAGAGGAAGCAGGAUGAACAAGGGGCAUCCACUCCAGUGUGCUUGGACUCUCAAGCUGGCCCUGCAGACCUCACUGUGUCCUGGGGAGGCCGGUGGCAGGGAGUUUCAGCCAAGCACAGUCCUCGCUGUCGUCGGGGUUGUGACAGAGCCACCCAUACUGCACCUCCAGCCCUUGGACAACCACAGCCUCUGUCGCUCCAGUCCCACAUCUGUCCAACACAUCUGUCUCCAACCGAGAUUGAGUGGCGGCUGAGUCCAAGACCACUCUUCUGUGGGGCCGGGCAGUUCUCCUAGGAGAGCGGCCUAAGCUACAGACCCGUGAGCAAAGGCUGCCGGGAAGAGGGCACCUGAGGGAGGCCUGGGGUCCUGAGGGCACAGGCAUGUGAAGGAGCAGGAAGGGAGCUCCACCAGAGGGAACAGCAUUAUGGAGGGCUCAGAGGCAGGGGCUAGGCCAGGUUUGCCUGGAACUGGCCAUACGGGUAC